rnacentral:lncRNA from 1 species
GCUGGGAGUUUGGGGUUGGUAGAUGCAAACAAUUACAUUUAGAAUAGAUAACCAAUGAGGUCCUACUGUAUAUCACAGGGGAGACGACAUUUUGAGAGGAAUUGGUAUUUAAGAUGAAACUAAAAGCAUGUCUAGGAUUUAGCUAGGAUGGUCUUUGAGCUACAGAGAAGAGAUGUAGAUUGGUGAAAGCAUUACAGAUGAAGAGAACUUAUUAGCAAAAUUCCAGAGCAGUUGAGAUCUUAGUAAAUUUCUUGAACUAAGGAAAGAAUUCCUGAAGUAGAAGCAAAGAGAGUUGUAGGAGGUAGGAUAGGGUGGGGGUGGGAUCAGGGAAAUGACUUGAUCUAGACUAUAUACUUUGACCAUGGUAAACUUCUGAUAUGUUUUAAUGAGGAGAGUUAUUUGAAUCUAUUAACACCCUAAACAACACACUAACUUUUGAGAAUGGGCAUUAAGUUUAUUAAGAGUCAUUUUUGGGGAAGUUCAGUUGUGGCUCAGCAGUAACGAAUCCAGCUAGUAUCCAUGAGGACGUGGGUUUGGCCCCAGGCUUCACUCAGUGAAUUAAGGAUCCAGAAUGUAGGUCAGACAUUACAGAUCUGGCAUUGCUGUGGCUGUGACAUAGGCUGGCAGCUGCAGCUCCAAUUCGACCCCUAUCCUGGGAACUUCUGUCUGCCACAGGUGCAGCCCUUUAAAAAAAAAAUGUUUUUUUGACCUAACAUAUGAUCUGUUCCAGAGAACAUUCCAUGUGUACUUGAGAAGAAUGUGUAUUCUGUUGCUUUUGAAUGGAAUGGUCAUAAGCCCAUAUGCCCUAUGUCCUUAUUGAUUUCUGUUGCAAUUAGAUUUGAUGAUCUAUCCAUUAGUGAAAGUGGGGUAUUAAAAGUACCUUAUGAUUAUUGUAUUGCUGUCUUCCUUUAGGCUUUUAAUAUUUGCUUUGUAUACUUAGUUGCUCCUAUGGUGAAUGUGUAAAUAUUUUAGAUUAUUAUAUUCUCUUGUUAGAUUGGCCCUUUUAUACAAUGACUUUGUCUCUUAUUACAGUCUUUGUUUUAUAGUCUAUUUUGUCUGAUAUAAGCAUAACUAUUUCUAUGUAUAGCUUUCUAUUGGUUUCCAUUAGCAUGGAAUUUCUUCUUCCAUCCUUCACUUUCAGUCAGUUUCCUAACAUCUGAAGUGAGUCUGUUGCUAGAAACUUAUAGAUGGGUCUUGUUUUUUAUAUUUGUUUUGUGGUUGGUGUGUGUGUGUGUCUGUGUGUGUCUGUAUGUGUGUCUGUCUGUGUCUGUCUGUCUGUGUGUCUGUGUGUUUAAUCCAUGCGCCAUUCUUUGUCUUUUGAUUGAAGAAUUUAAUCCAUUUCCAUUUAAAGUAAUUAUUAAUAGGUAUGUUUGUAUUGCCAUUUUGUUAAUUGUUCUCUGGCUGCUUUGUAAUUCCUCUGUUCCUUUCUUCUGUUGUUCCUCCCUUUUGUUAUUUAAUGAUUUUCUGUAGUGCUAUGCUUAGAUUUAUUUGAGAGUUUUUCUGGGUUACAGUGAGGCUUACAUAAAACAAUAGAUUUGAAUCUAUUUUAAGUUGAUAAGUUAGAAAGCAUUCUAAAGCUCUACACUUUUAUUCCCCUCUCCCAUAAUUUCUUUCUUUUUUUAAUAAUUCAUUUAUUUUUCCCACUUUAUCCUUACAUGCAUACAUUUUUUCCCCACCCUUUGUUCUGUUGCAAUAUGAGUAUCUAGACGUAGUUCUCAAUGCUACUCAGCAGGAUCUCCUUGUAAAUCUAUUCUAAGUUGUAUCUGAUAACCCCAAGCUCCCAAUCCCUCCCACUCCCUCCCUCUCCCAUCGGGCAGCCACAAGUCUCUUCUCCAAGUCCAUGAUUUUCUUUUCUGUGGAGAUGUUCAUUUGUGCUGGAUAUUAGAUUCCAGUUAUAAGUCAUAUCAUAUGGUAUUUGUCUUUGUCUUUCUGGCUCAUUUCACUCAGGAUGAGAGUCUCUAGUUCCAUCCAUGUUGCUGC